CCCCCCCCCCCCCCCCCACUUUCUCUUCCUUCUUUCUUCUCCCUUUUUGGAUUUAUUCUUCUUCUCUGGUAGUCUGGUAUGGUAAUUCAUUUGUUCUGAAACGUUCCUACCUCCUACAGAUUGUGUUAGGUACAAGUGGAAGUCCAAGGGAGAGAGAGAGAGGAUCUGGGCAGCUACUUCCCAACCUCUGUGACUACCAGAGUGUGGCUUGGUGAUGGGGACAUCAAAGUGUACAGGCGCAAGAAGAAGAAGAAGCAGCCAUCUUUGUGGCUGGAAGAA